CGCAGCUCGCCGGAGACCCGCGCCAGCAUUCUCUCUCUCCCCUUCGCACUCCCUCGCUCCUCUUCUCUUCGCGCGACGCUGCUGCACGCGCAGCACCACCGACAGGCCGCGCUCGCCGAACCGCCAGAUACCGCCGCCGGAGAUUUCUGCUGCUCGCCGUCGACCACCGAAGCCGGCGUCCACCUCAGGCGCGAUUCAUCCUCCCUGCUCCUAGUAGCAGAGAUUAAGGAAGAUAAAGGAUAUUACAAGCCUCCCCCGGCUAUCAAGGUUAUUAAGCAGGAAUCCAGGUACCGAUGGUGAUAACGGGAUGGCGUAGCAGUGAGGAUUUAAUUAAUAUCUAGAUUAUCUAGACUCUCAUGGUUUUAAUUUAAGUUUAUGUCAAAACUCUGAUUAGUAACUAAGUUUCUAUUAAUCAAGACUAAUGUUGGAUCUA